AGACGACUCUCGGCAACGGAUAUCUCGGCUCUUGCAUCGAUGAAGAACGUAGCGAGAUGCGAUACGUGGUGUGAAUUGCAGAAUCCCGUGAACCAUCGAGUCUUUGAACGCAAGUUGCGCCCGAGGCCACUCGGCCGAGGGCACGCCUGCCUGGGCGUCACGCCCCCGUUCGCUCCCUCAGGGCACGCCCUGCCUCGGGGAUGCGGAGAUUGGCCGCCCGUUGCGCGAAUCCGAAGGCGAGCGGUUGGCCCAAAUGCAGGUCAAAGUGCGGUGCGGCACGACGCGCGUUGGUUUAGCCGCGCGGCUGAUCGCUGAUCGAUCGCCGCGCCCGUGUCAUGCCGCUCGCGGUGCGACCCGUGGGACGCAACCUGCCCGCUGCGGCGGGCACUCGGACCGCGACCCCAGGUCAGGCGGGACCACCCGCUGAGUUUAAGCAUAUCAAUAAGCGGAGGAGAAGAAACUUACGAGGAUUCCCCUAGUAACGGCGAGCGAACCGGGAGCAGCCC
rnacentral:rRNA from 1 species